rnacentral:rRNA from 1 species
CCAGACUCCUACGGGAGGCAGCAGUGGGGAAUAUUGGGCAAUGGGCGCAAGCCUGACCCAGCAACGCCGCGUGAAGGAAGAAGGCUUUCGGGUUGUAAACUUCUUUUGACAGGGAAGAGUAGAAGACGGUACCUGUCGAAUAAGCCACGGCUAACUACGUGCCAGCAGCCGCGGUAAUACGUAGGAUGCGAGCGUUAUCCGGAUUUAUUGGGUGUAAAGGGCGUGGAGGCGGUCUGUUAAGUCAGCAGUCAAAGCCCGGGGCCCAACCCUGGGACUGCCGUUGAAACUGGCGUUCUUGAGUGGGCGAGAAGUAUGCGGAAUUCGUGGUGUAGCGGUGAAAUGCGUAGAUAUCACGCAGAACUCCGAUUGUGAAGGCAGCAUACCGG